GAGUGUUUAUAGAGCUGUGAGUUUAACACUUCAUGACUGAGAGCAGAACAGAACACAAUCUUCAUCAUCACACAAGACACAACAACAACAAUGAACAACAUCAUCAUCCUCAUCUGGACUCUGACACUCUGCAUUCACGAGAUCUGGGGACAAAGGACAGUGACUCAGAAUCCAGCAAUAAAAUCCAUCAAUCAAGGAGAAACUUUUACAAUCAACUGUAAAUCAAGUCAGACACUUUCUAGCUGCUUUAACUGUGUGUCUUGGUAUCAGCAGAAACCUGGAGAAGCUCCUAAACGCCUCAUUUAUGCUAUAUCAACCCAUAACACUGGUACUCCUUCUAGAUUCAGUGGCAGGGGAUCAAACUAUGGAAGUGAUUUCUCUCUGACCAUCAGUGGAGUCCAGACUGAAGAUACAGGAGAUUAUUACUGUCAGGUGUAUAACAAUGAUGGUGUGUUCACACAGUGAUAAAGAGUCGUACAAAAACCUCCGUCAGUCAGAGUCACAGUGACUGCACUGAUACAGCUGAGAGACACUGCAGCUGCUGAUGAGAGGAUCACAAACAUCAUAUAGAUUAGAGCAAAAUUACUAAAUGUAAGUAACACACUAAGGCCUGCUGUGGGACUCAUAAGACAGUUUGCACUUUAUAAACUAUGCAUACAAUUAAAAUUAUGUACUGAUUUAUUAUUAAAAUGACAAACCUGAUUCCAAAAUAGAUAGGACACUGUACAAAUUGUGAAUAAAAACAGAAAGCAA